rnacentral:tRNA from 1 species
GUUUAGAUAGCUUAACCAAAGCAUGGCACUGAAAAUGCUAAGAUGAAUCCUAAAAAAUUCUCCAGACA